rnacentral:rRNA from 1 species
GACAGAGGCCUCAAGCGUUAGGCGGAAUCACUGGGCUUAAAGCGUGUGUAGGCGGGUCGUUAAGUACCUUGUGAAAUCCCACGGCUCACCCGUGGAACUGCUGGGUAUACUGGCGAUCUUGGGCCAUUCAGGGGCAACUGGAACAAGCGGUGGAGCGGUGAAAUGCGUAGAUAUCAGGAGGAACACCUGUGGCGAAAGCGGCUCACUGGACCACAACUGACGCUGAUGCACGAAAGCUAGGGGAGCAAACAGG